UUUCGUCAGAGUCCUCUUGGAAAGGUGAAAUUGAUGGUUCCAUAGGGGAAAAAAAAUUGGUUUCCCAAUCUGCUUCUGAAAAGGAAUUCUUCUGGCUGAAUAGGUUGGUAGGUUGAGUCGAGUGACCUUCCUUGGGAUGGGCUGCAUUCUUCUGCUGUUUGAUCCAUGGAAUCUUGGCCAUUUUUAGGGCAGCCUAAGGGUGUGAGUCUGCUCUGGGACAUAUCGAGAGGCUGUGCUGUACAUAGCAGUCCUUGGGCAGUUGGUCGCGGUUAGGAUGUUGAUGCAGACAACGUUCCAUGUGGUUCCCCUGGAGUUAGCUGUACUCCUCUGGGAAGCCCCCAGGUGACCAUUCUUUCAGAGUCCUCCGGAGGAUGUGAAAAACCAGGAAAGCCUCCCUAAGGUCACACCUGCCUGAAUCUGGUAUCCAUCUGGGUACAUUCAGUCUCUGGGGACAUCUGCUGGCCUAGGUUUAUGGGUUGAUGGACAAUCAGUGGAUAAUGGAAUCGGAAGCCUUAAAUCAGACAACUUUCCAGGUCUAAUCCAAGCCCUUCAUGCUAUUGAUGAGACUGAGGCUCAGUUUAUGUAUUGAAGAACCUGGGCCGUUUGACCCACGGAGUGGUUCUCAAUCUGGAUUUGGCUGAUUGGGCACUCAUGUUGCAGGUUAACAUGCUCCUCGGUUUUCUGCCCUCCUAGAAGUUGGCAGCUGGAUCCAGAAGCUUCAACAGCCUCAGGUUCAGCCUCCUGGGCUGGCGGAUUGUAGGCCGAAGCUUGAUUCGGGUGUCAGCAAGUUAAAACUCAGGCACAUCCAUCUUUCUUGAUCCAAGUAAAUUCUAGUGGGCAAGAGGAAGAGAAGAGAAACUACAACAUCAUUAUCUUACUGCUGGAGGCAGCAGAUUACGGACCCCUGACUGCGAUGUGUCAAAUGCACUAUGUGACAACCAAGACCCUACACAUCCGGGGGGCACUUCAGGAUUCCUCCAGGCCGCAGUUGCUGGCCUAGACUCACUUCUUCAGGAGGGAGGUUCGCCCUGGAAAAGCUGAUCUGCAUUUCUGCUGGGAUCGAUGCCGUGGAGACUGAAUACAUUGAGGUCUCCAGUUGAAAGAAGAAAGCUUAACCUGGCUUCUGAAUUCCAAGAGCGCAC
rnacentral:lncRNA from 1 species